rnacentral:misc_RNA from 1 species
GAUGAAGAACGCAGCGAAAUGCGAUAAGUAAUGCGAAUUGCAGAAUUUCCGUGAGUCAUCGAAUCUUUGAACGCACAUUGCGCCCACUGGUAUUCCGGUGGGCACGCCUGUUCGAGCGUCAUUAUCCUCCCUCAAACCCCGGGUUUGGUGUUGGACCCAAGUUGUGUGAACAACUGGUCUCAAAGACAAUGACGGCGUCCGUGGGACCCUCGGUGCAACGAGCUUUUAGGAGCACGCAUCGAGUUGCAAGGACCUUCCGGGCCGGUCUCCUUUACCAUUUUACAAGGUUGACCUCGGAUCAGGUAGGAAUACCCGCUGAACUUAAGCAUAUCAAUAAGCGGAGGA